rnacentral:rRNA from 1 species
CGGCACGGGUGAGUAACACGUAUCCAACCUGCCGUCUACUCUUGGACAGCCUUCUGAAAGGAAGAUUAAUACAAGAUGGCAUCAUGAGUUCACAUGUUCACAUGAUUAAAGGUAUUCCGGUAGACGAUGGGGAUGCGUUCCAUUAGAUAGUAGGCGGGGUAACGGCCCACCUAGUCUUCGAUGGAUAGGGGUUCUGAGAGGAAGGUCCCCCACAUUGGACUGAGACACGGCCAA